rnacentral:rRNA from 1 species
GAUGAACGCUGGCGGCGUGCCUAAUACAUGCAAGUCGAGCGAACAGACGAGGAGCUUUCUCCUCUGACGUUAGCGGCGGACGGGUGAUUAACACGUGGAUAACCUACCUCUAAGACUGGGAUACCUUCGGGAAACCGGAUCUACUACCCGAUAAUAUAUUGAACCUCAUUGUUCACUAGUUAAAUACGGUUUUUCUUUCACUUAUAGCUGACUCCGCGCCGCAUUAGCUAGUUGGUUAGGUAACGGCUUACCAAGGCAACGAUGCGUAGCCGACCUGAGAGGGUGAUCGGCCACACUGGAACAGAGACACGGUACAGACUCCGACGGGAGGAAGCAGUAGGGAAUCUUACGCAAUGGGCGAAAGCCUGACGGAGCAAAGUCGCGGGAGGGAUGAAGGUCUUCGGAUCGGAAAACGCUGUUAUUAGGGAAGAACAAAUGUGUAAGUAACUAUGAACGUCUUGACGGUACCUAAUCAGAAAGCCACGGCUAACUACGUG